GGAAGGUAAGCGAAGUUGGGGAGCGGGCCGACUGCUGAUCGGCUAAGACGGGAGACCGUUUUGCGGGUUCGAACCCCGCACCUUCCG
rnacentral:tRNA from 1 species